GACGAACGCUGGCGGCGUGCUUAACACAUGCAAGUCGAACGGAAAGGCCCUGCUUUUGUGGGGUGCUCGAGUGGCGAACGGGUGAGUAACACGUGAGUAACCUGCCCUUGACUUUGGGAUAACUUCAGGAAACUGGGGCUAAUACCGGAUAGGAGCUCCUGCUGCAUGGUGGGGGUUGGAAAGUUUCGGCGGUUGGGGAUGGACUCGCGGCUUAUCCGCUUGUUGGUGGGGUAGUGGCUUACCAAGGCUUUGACGGGUAGCCGGCCUGGGAGGGUUAACGGCCACAUUGGGACUGAGAUACGGCCCAGAAGCCUACGGGAGGCAGCAGGGGGGAGUAUUGCACAAUGGGCGGAAGCCUGAUGCAGAAACGCCGCGUGCGGGAUGACGGCCUUCGGGUUGUAAACCGCUUUCGCCUGUGACGAAGCGUGAGUGACGGUAAUGGGUAAAGAAGCACCGGCUAACUACGUG
rnacentral:rRNA from 1 species